GUUACACUCCACGUUUCAUUGCUCAGUCGCACAGGUCGAGGCUCAAGAUGACACCGGUGAAAACAAUGUGCAUGAUAAUCGUUGCCAUGGCAAUUUUGUCGAUUUUCCAGUCCCGAAAUCUUGUUCAAGCCCAGUCAGUGGUAAACAGCCCAAGUUUUCAUCGUGUUAACUUCCGCACGGGUCCAGACGGACGACCGAACCUUGGGGGCAUCGGGAACGAGCUGGACGUUUUUUUCGGCGGCGCUGAUCCUAUGAGCACCGGAAGUCGAGGACCCUUUAUGAGACCACCUCCUAUGAUGCGAUUACCAGGACGGUUUAGAAUGAUCUUCUGGUGAAAUCAUAUUCCUUACUGUCAUUCCACUCGCUGUCAUCGACUCAUUUAUUUAUUCCUGUAUGUUGUAUAGUCAUGCUUCAACAAAUGUUUAUGCCAUUUUAUAAAUAUGUUUGAAUGUUUUUGUUUAGGUUUUUUAUUAGAAUUGAUGUUGUUUUUUAAUUAAUCGUAUCGAGUUUUAUGUUUUAGUUUUUUAUAAGGUCUUUAUUACAUUUUUUUAGUUUUACGUAUUAACUUUAUAAUGAUUCAUUUGUUAUAGGAAAAUUUUUGAAAUGAUUAAUAGGGAACUUAUAAUGUUUAUUGAUUAGUUGUAUGGACACGAAACAUGUGUUUUAAUUUAAUGUUCAAAUGUUUUUGUGUGUUGUUUUCUUGUCGCACAUACGAAUAAUACAAUAUAACAGAGUCGAGCUUUCAUAAAUUGAGCUGCGUUCUGAGAAAACUUGGCUUAAUGCAUGUGCGUAAAGUGUCAUUCCAGAUUAGCCUGUGCAGUCCGCACAGGCUAAUCAGGGAUGACACUUUCCGCUUUUAUGGUAAUUUUAGCUUCAAGAAAGUCCCACCUUACCGAAAAUCACGUUUAGGCGGAAAGUGUCGUUCCUGAUUAGCCUGUGCGGACUGCACAGGCUUAUCUUGGAUGACACUUUACGCACAUAAAUUAAACCCAGUUUUCUCAGAACAAGGCUAAAUUGUCUACGUUUAUCAUGUCAGCAUUCUCAAAUUCAAAAUCGUCACGUGAUAUCGCAUGCAGUUUCACUCAAUUAUAGAUUGUGUUCAUUAAAGGACUUCAUUGAUGGUGCAUUUAAUAACGAUCAGAUAUGUUGUUCUAUAAUUGUUCGAUAA